AUAAAAGACAUUGCCGAAUCAAGGCAAAUGUUACCAAAAUUCCUUAGGAAUUACUUGCUGGUUUACUUGCAGAGAAAGUAAAGAGUGCUCAGAUUAAGAAGACAGCAUUUGCUUCUACAACCUUGCCACAGCCUGACAUCAAGUUUCAGGCCAAGUUGAGGGUUUUCUUUUCUUUAUUUUUUUAAGUUUAUUUAUUUAUUUUCAAAGAGAGAGAGAGCCAGUGCAAGAGCAGGAGAGGGGCAGAGAGAGAAGGAGAGAAAAUCCCAAGCAGGCUCCAUGCUGUCAGUGCAGAGCCUGAUGAGGGCUCCAUCCCAAGAACCACAAGAUCAUGACCUGAGCCAAAAUUGAGAGUCAGGCGCUUAACUUACGAAGCCACUCAGAUGCCCCCAAGUUGAGGGUUUUCUAACAAAAAUAUUCUCAGUCUUUGUGGAUAACCAGAUCCAUUAGAGAAUCUGUAGUACUUAUAGUCUGUGUAAGAAUUCAAAAGCAUGGAAUGGAGACAUUUACAAGUAUGGUUGACCAUUACAGGUCCUGUGGUGUGAAAACCCACAUGAAACCAGAUGAACAUUAGGUAAAUAUUCUUUAUUAGAGGUUCAGCUGUAUAAACUAAAACUAGGAAUGAUGAAGAAGAAGAAAGGAAGAAGGAAUCCAUGUUCCUUAGUGGACACAGAAGUGAAGAGCAGCCAGCUAAAUUAACCUGGAUUGAUGAAUGUAAGGAAAACAAAAAUGUUUAUUCUUUGUGUCUUGGGAGUAUAUAUCAGUAGCUUCUAUUUUUAUCCUCAAUGAUGCACAAUUUCUUAUCAUUCAACUUUGCCUCCAGUUGGAAUGUGAAUUUGGGAUGUUGGAGUUUGAAGAGCCUUCUUGGACAAUGAGGCAAAAGCUACAUGUUGAUGACAUAAUAUCCAGAUUCCUUUUAAUCUUGGAACACAUAAGAGCACUCAAUUCCCCAGAUUUUGCUUAUGUGAAAGAAUGAAACAAGUGGCUUUCUUUUAUCUACUUUCAUUUUGGAUUUCUGUCACUUGAGCUGCAUCUAAUUCCAACUAAUUAACCAGGUUGUAUUCCUUAUUAUUUGCAUUCUGUGAGUUAGUAUAGAGCUAAUACAGGAGCAGUUCUGCUCUGGUCAAGAGGGUUACUCCCAGUCUGGAUAUCAGCACAUUUUUUAUUUAUUAUCUAAGAGAAUAUGGCUCUUCUGCCUGAAGUCCUUUUUCAUGAGCUAUGAUGUCACAUGUACAAAUGAAUGGGUAUUGUUAUAAACCUGAGAUACAGAAGUUUUCAUUAAAAAGUUUCUAUUUAUCUUGUUUGAAGAGUUGCCUAUUUCUUUCCUGUGAUAUCCCUAGAAGAUAAAUUUGUUGCAAUAAGAUAAAGGAAACUCUUCAUUGAAAACCACAGCAAACAACUCAGGUCAGUUUUAAAGUGUAUUUUCCACACCCCGUAUUAUUAGAGCAGGCCCAAUUAAAUUUUAGUGCCCAGGGACCAUUCUUGCUAUUAUUUUCUAAUAGAAUAUGAUAUAAUAUUAUCCUUGAAACAGUUUCAAUUUAAAUUACUACCCUCCCCACCCCAUUCUGCUUUUACUCCCUUUAUGUGGAAUCCCUCCGAAGAUACUGAACCUGAAUUGUAUCUUAUCUCAUGACCUAUAGUUCCGGGCCAAAAUUUGGAAUUUUCAUAUAUUUGUGGAAUAGCCUUAUAAUCCAUUCCAUUUCAGAACAAAUUCCUCUAAUUAUAAUAAAGGAAGAAAAAAAUGGUAAAUUGAUAACCUGAUAUCUAUUUGGACUAGCCCUUCUUUUCUUAACUUAUUUAGCUAUCAAAAGAAAGUUGUAGUCUGUUUUAAAAGUCCUAGGCAGUUAAUAUUGAGUGUACUUUGAAAAUAAUAGUAAUAUGUAAUAGUGAUGGACUAUAAUUUAAGCCUAAUGUGGACAAUUCGAAGUACUAUUUUGUCGUACUGCCUGUUCUGAAAUAUUUUAACAGCAGUUAUUCCACUUGUUUUCAUAGUAGUAGUUUUUGCAGCGGGUGUGACCAUAUUAAACUUUUAUUUUUGAUACACAACCCAAGGCUUCUAUAACUUUGGCAGGUACAUAGCUAGCUUGUAGCAAAGGUAAGUCUAUAGAUUCCAGAGACUGUCAUCUUCCUACUUGCCAUGUAGUGUAUAAAUAAAAAACUUAAACUAUCUCUUUGGAAGAUUGCAUUGCUGUCCUUGCACACAUAGAAAAAUUGUACCAAUUUAUGCAAAAAUAGAAUAGAUGAGAGAUAAGACUUAAUAAAACGUCUGUCCACUUCACUGGAAUACUGGCUGGUAGUAAGAACAUGCUUCCAGUUAAAGAAAUAAAAGGUUUUAGUUAAACAUCUUAAUGAAGCUCAUUUUUGUUUUUCUUUUUUCUGAUAUGGCUUCUUUUAACUCAAUAUUUGGUUUUACUUUCAAAGAAAGCAUCCAGUGCCAGAAAACAAAUCUAUACUGGGAAAUAUUGCUUAUAAUUAUCAUCACUAUUAACAUCACUCUCAUGAAAAAUGCUUCUAUUAUAUUUUAAGUGAGAGAGGCCAUGUCUUUUUAUAUUUUUUUAUAUAAAACUGAAAAUUUAGUUUAGAAGAAUCUUUUUUGUUUAGCACCAGUAAAAUGAUGGAUAAUUUUCUGGCCUGUGUGCCUCUGUGCUAACAAUGUUAUUUUGAAAAGGAUGUGCUUUUGAAAAGUCUGAGGCAGUAAUCCUGGGUACCUCAGGAUCUAUGUGUGGCUUGCUGCCUAUUUUGAGCAAACUGUCUCCUCAAUAUAUACUUAAAACUAAUGAUUUGUUGUAUAAUAAAAAUUAAAAUUUUUAGCAAAACUGACCAAGUGGUAAGUUUUGGCACCCUAUUUAAACAGCUGGUUUCUUUAAUGCUUAUUCCCAUGCCUAGCGAAGAGUGGUUUCUUAAAGGAACACAUCUGAUACAAAUACCUUAAAUAUUAUCAGUAAUUCAAGGGAACGCAAGGAAAUUUGAAAAGGGGCUCAUUGAACUAACUUAGAAACCCCUGCAAAUGUGUGAAAAAUAUGUAUUUUCCCUUUUCCCUGAGUAAACUGCACAGAAACCUACAUAAGUGGUGCAUAAAGCUUUCAUGACUUCAGCCCUAGGCUACAUAUCUAAGUGGUCCCCACUGUAUUCACAUAUAAACAAUAGCACUGUAUAUUAAGAAUCACAAUAAUAGCAAAAACAACUAUAACAUUAUUAGCAUGAUUUUAUUUUUAUUUUUAUGGCUUCUUGACUAGUUUGACAACUACCUACUGGCUUUUAGGAAAUGCCUAAAAUGCCAGUUAUACAUACUUUAUGUCGGAGAAGAUAGACAGCUUUAGUUUUACUCAUGGGAUCAUCCACAGGAAAGCUUCUCAGACAAAAAUUGGGGGGUCUCAAGUUACAAUGAACAUUCCAUAUACAGGCUUUCUUGUUAUCAAUUAACUCAACUUACUUCUUCAUCAAUUUUUUCUCCCUUCAGUCUUGAUGGUUUUAUGACCUAGACCCAGGCAAUACCCUUAGGCGGUCCAUGUGAUAAUUGACACAUUUUCUAACACGGUAUAGUGAUGCCCAAGUCACUGCUUUCAGGCUGUGACUUGAGCUUAUUGGAGUCUGCAGCAGGGGCUCCUUUUAUCCUCAUACAUCAGAAUACACUGACAGCUCUCCCAUGCAGGGACCACGCAGAUCUCUCCCCCAGGAAAAUAUAUGCAAACACCUCCAGCACAUUGUAAUGCUUGCUAGGCAUCACAAUGGUGACAUCUUUAUGAUAAACACAGUAUGCAGAAGAAGGUCUAAUAAAAGAAUAACAAAUUAUUACAUGCAAAGGGCAAUUUUACAAGAUUAACGGGUAUAAUAAAUUACUACUAGAUCAGAAUACCUUAUUACCUUUUAAGGUAUUUCACAGUGGAGACAAAGUGAACUGGCCUAUAAAAACCCAGAGAAUGUGGGAGAGAAUAGCAAACUGCUUUUCCACAUUUCUGAAAGAAAGUCACAAUACUUGCCUUAUAAUAUGGUGAGUUCAGCAAGUACUUAUGCUAAAAUAGGGUUAUGCAUGCAGUUCAUGCUAAGAUGUUUAUUAUGAGUUUUCAUAUGGCUAUUGUAUCUUCAGUAACAUUGCAAUCUAUAUACUAUUAACUUAAAAACUUGUAGAAUUUUAUUUCUAAAACAAUUUCAAUACAUAAAAUAUUACAUAGUAAAUUCCAAGACUCACAUUAUUUUAUAAUAAUUAGUAAAUGUGUGUUUUUCAACAAGAUAGUAGGAAUUUUGUAGCAAUGAAUUGCUUCCUUUGAUGAUUUUCAUCAGAUGUUCAAGAAGUUAAAAGGAAAACGUUUCCAGAUUUUCAAAUUUACAUUUCCCUUUUAUUUUGAAAAAGUAACCAAUGCUUCUUACUUUUUCUUGACUGUACUUUUAUAUUACAAAAUGAGAAAAAAAUCUAUUACUUGAACAUUGGAGACAUGACAUUUGCAAUAUAUAGAAUUAUUUUAUUUUAUUGAAAGAACUGUAGCUAUUUAGACAUUUCUAGUGGUGAGUCUAAUCCUUUCCAAGAAAUAAGAAAGUUAAAAGAGAGGAUAGAGGGGAUGGGAGAGGGAGAAAAGGGAGAAGGGGACAGAGGGAGUAAAGAAGAGAGAAAGAAGAAAGGAAAGAAGGAAAGAGGGAGAGAGGGAAAGAGGGAGGAAAUAAAGGAAGGAGAGAAGGAAGGAAUGAAGGAAAGCCAUGAGACUUUCUAAGUCUGAUCACCUUCCCAAAUAUUUUGAUACCUAGAGUUGAAAAAUUGAGCUACUAUUAAAAUAUUUUUAAUGUUUAUUUAUUUUUGAGACCGAGAGAGACAGAGCACAAAAGGGGAAGGGUCAGAGACACAGAAUCUGAAGCAGGCUCCAGGCUCUGAGCUGUCAGCACAGAGCCCGACGAGGGGCUUGAACUCACGGACUGUGAGAUCAUGACCUGAACCGAAGUCGGACGCUUAACUGACUGAGCCACCCAGGCACCCCUAAGAUAUUUUUAAAUAGCUGCUUUAAGUUAUGAUUCAUUAGAUAUAAAUAAUGCAACCAAACUUCAUUGGUGAUUGCUUUGAGCUAUUUGUUGCUGUUAUGGGUGAGCCAUUGGACUCAAGCUUGACCUAAGUAAACGGUACAGUUAAAAAAAAAUGCAUUCACAUUCCUUUUAUCGUUUUUGCUACUGUUCAUGGAUACUUGAGAUCAAGAGUGCACUAUUUAUCUCUUUUCUACCAUCUUUAUAGCUCUUUCUAUUGUGACUGCCAUGCAAUGGUAACUCACAUGUAGGUGAAAGUCUAAAGAGUACAGUUUUUCAAUAACAUCACACUUCAAGUGCUUUCUAAAAGGAUGGUCCUCAUCAGAUCAGGAUAAUCAAUAUUCCUUUUGACUGAUCUUGAAGUCUCCUCAAGUUGAGUUUGCUAAUACUGACAGUGUGGUUCUUGUAGGUGGAAGAGGGAAAUGGUGGAGUUAUUAUUGAUAACUACUGGGUAUAGAUUGGAGGAAAAAUUGGGGAGUGAGGGAUAAGGGAGGCAUUGAAGUUCCUCAAGAACAAUUUAUGCAUUAUCCUCCUCACUGGGAAAUACACAGAGAAGAUGGAAGCUCAGUCAACUUGAAUGUUUAAUGAAUACUAUUAGAUAUCUGUGUGAGUCAUUCACAUUUUUUAAAAUAUGAAUUGCUUUUUAAACUAUCAUGUAGAAAACAUUUUAUUUAUUCUUUCUUUGAUGCUAUUCUAUAUUUAUGCAGAUCCAAGUUUCUGACCUAUAUCAGAAUACUUAUUGCAUAUCUGAAUUUGUAACUGUGAGACAACCACUAAUUAAACUUAUAUUUAACUAUAUCUUACCUCUGUGUUGCAUAUCUCUCCAUGAGAGGGCUGUGGGCACAGUGGAUAAAAGUGCAUUCUAUAAACUGUUCUGGAAUUCUUUUUGAAUACCAAGAAUUUUGACUCUUUCUCUUUUUAAUUUUGUGACUUGGAUAAGUUCACCUUUGGGUAUCUCAGUUUCCUCAUCUGUGAAAAUGAGAAUAACAGGAGUUUAUCUCAGGGGCUUUUGUGAAGAUUAACAGCAUUGAUAACAUUUGAUUCACUUAAAACAGUGCCAGGUACUUAAACCUUGUAUCUCAGUCUCAAGAAAAGGAUUCUUAUGAAAGCUGUUGUCUUGACUUCAAAUUUAGCUUUUGUAAGCAUUGAUUUCAAAAUGGAGAUCAUCCAGGAUUAGGGAUAUUUUGGCUAAUAAAGGUAUUUCCAUUUUUUAUAAGAACAAGAAAAAGGCAUAUAUACUCACAACGGGAUGCACUGAUAAGAUUUUCUUUUGUUCCUGUAGUUGUUGUUAUUGUUGUAAUACAAUUCCAUUUAAAAGCAUGUUGAUUAGCUCAGACUAAUUAGGAAUUAUAUUUGCAUAUAAAAUGUACUCGUUUUAACCAUGUUGCAAGAUAGAUGAUGUUAUCAUCUCUAUUUUAUUAGUGGGGAAAUUGGGAAAGAAUAUGGGGCUUUCUGUGGGUCACCUAACUUGUAAGUAGUGUCAAAGUUCUUGCUCUUUCCUCUAGCCUAUUUAUUUGAUAGCCCUUAUCUAAGUAUAGUCCUAAGAAAUAGUUUAUUAGUUAAUUUGUUAAAACAGCACUUAUUGAGCACCUGCUAUCUGCCAGACACUGUGCUACAUUCCUGGUGGUGAAAUAGUAAAUAAGGCACUGUUAGAACUAUUGAGAAUCAAGGGUUCUAAGGGGGAAAAAAUGGACAAACAAGAAAUUUGAGUGCAUCGUGAUAAGAGUUGAUAUGGAAAUAUAUAGGGGCAUGAUUGGAAUGAUUUCAGAAAGAGGCAUUAUGCAUACAAAAAUGUACAAAAUACAUAUUCUGAGUAUAUGGCAAAAAGAAGGAAUAAAAGAAUAAAAUUUUACAAUGUUUUAUUUUUUACUUUUUUUAACUGAGAUAUUAAUUGGGCAUAGUGAUGUUAAUGAAUAUAUCAUUAUGAUUUGAAAAAAUUCAUCAAAGUCCAACAGCCAAUUAGAAUAUUUCAUUGCCUGCUGGUCUAACACUUAUUCACAAAGACUGGUUUUGAUUGUGACUUGGAAACUAGAUGACCAUCCUAGCUACUAAUCAAUUAAAUGCUGGAUAGUUCUCUUCUUCUUAGUUAUCUACAUCUCAGUUAAUAAAAAUCUCACCCUUGUUUCUAUUCAUUUCUCGUUACAUUCUUUUCCUAAACAAUCUUAUCGAUAGCCACACUGAUGUCUCCCAAAUCUAUCUGCAGCCUUUCAUUUCUCAUGCCAUCCAUGGAGAUAUUUCUAAGUUUUGAUUAAUCUGAUAUCUCCAUUGUAUAUUUUACUGACCAAUGUGAUUCUCUUACUUUUCCCAUAAAUUCCUUUUUCUAUAGGCAUAAAGCUAGUUGGUGACACCAUGAGUAGCCAAAUCCCUAUCCAGCUGCCACUCGUUCUUACACUACCAGAUUUCAUCUAAUUCUAUAAUGCUAGUCAGGGAUUCGUUUUUAUCUUAUAUUGUACAAAAACUAUUGUUAGCAAUAAUACAGUGCUUUCUUCUCUCAGAAUAUUAUUUAAUACUUAAUUUUCUCACACUUAAGUUAGCAUUGGUUUUAUCAAUUAUUUUUUUACUUACAUUUAAAACAAAAUAUGAGGAAACUAAUUUGUUUAAGGUACUUCUAAAACCAUUUAACCUUCAAAGUACCACUUUCUGAACUGCUUCAGAACUGAGAAUUGUUAGUCUGUGUAUUAACACUCAACUGAGUCAUUGGUGCUGAGUUCUUAAGUCAGCUUUUUAAAAAUAAUAAACUUUAGUUUUUAAGAGAAGUUUUGUGUUCACAACAAACUGAAGUGUUUCCCAGUCCCCACACAUGCACAAACUCUCUCACUAUUGGUAUUCCACACCACAAUGGUAUGUUUAUCACCAUCUAUGAACCUACACAGUUAAUGUUAGGACUCAAUAUUGGUUUUGUACAUUCUAUGGAUAUUGACAAAUGUAGAUACAUAUUUUCAUCAAUAUAGAGUCAUACAGAGUAUUUUCACUGCCCUAAAAGUCCUCUCUGCUCUACCUAUUCAUUCCUUUCUCCCUAUUAACUUCUGGAACUCACGGAUCUUUUUACUGUCUCCAUUACUACCUUAUGCAAAAUGUCAUAUAGUUGGAAUUAUACUUAUGUAGCCUUUUCAAACUGGCUUCUUUCAGUUAAUAAUAUGCAUUUUAGUUUCCUUUAGGUCUUCUCAUGGCUUGAUUGCUCCAUCUUUUUUUAGCACUGAAUAAUAUUCCAGUGUUGCUUCACAGUUUAUCUUAUCCAUUCACCUCCUGAAGGACACCUUGAUUGCUUCCAAAUUUUGGCAAUUAUGAAUAAAACUGCUAUAAAGUUUUGUGUACAGGGUUUUGUGUGAACAUAAAUUUUCAACUCAACUCUUUAGGAAAAUACCAAAGAGGAUUAUUGGUGGAUAGUAUGAUAAGAGUAGAUUUAGUUUUAUAAGAAACUGUCAAACUGUCAUACAAAGUGGCUGUACCAUUUUGGAUUUCUACCAGCAAUGAAUGAGAGAGUUCCUAUUGUUCCACCUCUUUGCCAGCAUUUGGUGUUUGAGUGUUUUGGAUUUUGGCCAUUCUACUGGAUGUGUAGCAGAAUCUCUUUGUUGUUUUAAUUUGCAAUUCCUUGAUGAUACUUGAUGCUGAACAUGUUGUCAUAUGUCUAUUUGCGACCUUUAUAUCUUCUUUGUGAUUUUAGAUCUCUUCUAAUAUGUGCAUUCAAUAUUAUGAGUUUCUCUUUAUGAACUGCUUUGCUGAAUCCUGUAAGUUUUGAAAGUUGUAUUUUAAUUUAGUUCAGAGUAUUUAUUAAUUUUUUUUUGAGAUUUUUCCUUUGACUCAUGUUGUAUUUAGAAGUUUGUUUUUGAUCUGCAAGUAAGUAUUUGGGAGAUUUUCCAAGCUAUCUUUGCCUUAUUGAUUUCUAGUUUUAUUCCAUUGUGGUUGAGAGCACACAUUGUAUGAUAUCUACUUUUGAAAACUUGUUAAGGUGCAUUUUUUUGGCUCAGAAUGUGGUCUAUCUUGGGGAAUGUCCCACAUGACCUUGAGAAGAAUGUGUCUUGUGCUAUUGUUGAUGAAGUAUUAUAUUGAUGUCAAUUAUAUGCAGUUGAUUGGUGGUGCUGUUGAGUUCUUGAACCAGCUUUUCAAUUAUCAACUGAAGCUCAGAAAUGGUGUUGAAUAUACCUGAUCUACCAACCUACCAAGCAGCCAUUUGAUUCCUAGGGAUUACAUGAGUAGUUUGGUCUCUGAGAGUUCAUUUCAAACCUCUGACACCUAUUCAUCACAAGUUAUGGUGUUGGCAAUUUUUAUAGUUGAGUAUGAUCAGGCAAUGAUAUCUGUUUGAAAACAUUGUUUGCACUUCGACAUGCCAAC